GAUGAACGCUGGCGGCGUGCCUAAUACACGCAAGUCGAGCGAACAGACGAGGAGCUUGUUCCUCUGACGUUUGCGGCGGACGGGUGAGUAACACGUGGAUAACCUACCUAUAAGACUGGGAUAACUUCGGGAAACCGGAGCUAAUACCGGAUAAUAUAUUGAACCGCAUGGUUCAAUAGUGAAAUACGGUUUUGCUGUCACUUAUAGAUGGAUCCGCGCCGCAUUAGUUAGUUGGUAGGGUAACGGCUUACCAAGGCAACGAGGCGUAGCCGACGUGAGAGGGUGGUCGGCCACACUGGAGCUGAGACACGGUCCAGACUCCUACGGGAGGCAGCAGUAGGGAAUCGGCCGCAAUGGUCGAAAGCCUGGCGGAGCAACGCCGCGUGAGUGAUGGAGGUCUUCGGAUCGUAAAACUCUGUUUUUAGGGAAGAACAAAUGUGUAAGUAACUAUGCACGUCUUGACGGUACCUAAUCAAAAAGCCACGGCUAACUACGUG
rnacentral:rRNA from 1 species